rnacentral:rRNA from 1 species
AGUGAUUCAUCUCUGGCGAUCAUACCGGAUAUAUGCUUGCAAUCUGCAUAGCCGAUUCAUCAUCAGCAUAUAGAGUAGUUGCAAAUAUCUGUAAUGCACGGCGCAGUUCGGCCAUUGCUUGAAUUUGCUUUGUAUCAAUCAUAUUGAUUCUCCUUUAUUCUCGACAUUACACCUGUUCUUGCCAGCCAGCCGGAUAUGCUGUUGGUGAAUAUACAUUCCCGUCCAUCAGGCUGAUGUAGUGCUUACCUUCGAACGUCACCUUGCCACCCUUAUUGUAAGUAUCGUGAGCACCAGUAGGCUGUACAAAAUCUGGACAUUUGUCAGGUCGGUUGUAUUUGUCAAGUAUUCAACCAUCAGAAGCUACCUCCAUUCGCGUUUGCGAUCUCUACAGCCGCCCAUGUCCCAUUUACUACUCGUAGGAAUUUUCCAUUAUCUGUAGUGGUUACAGUUGGAACUUCAUGAACCGUGACACCACCUGUUUUGCCGUUGACGGACGUGACGGGUGCGUUAUUCGCAACAUAAUCCGGAAUGCCACCCGCUUGUUCCACUGUGCCAGUAGCGUCAUAUACAGAUUUAAGCAUAUCGCCAGAACCUGUGCACACACCGC